rnacentral:rRNA from 1 species
GACGAACGCUGGCGGCGUGCUUAACACAUGCAAGUCGAACGGAAAGGCCCUGCUUUUGUGGGGUGCUCGAGUGGCGAACGGGUGAGUAACACGUGAGUAACCUGCCCUUUACUUUGGGAUAACUUCAGGAAACUGGGGCUAAUACCUGAUAGGAGCUCCUGCUGCAUGGUGGGGGUUGGAAAGUUUCGGCGGUUGGGGAUGGACUCGCGGCUUAUCAGCUUGUUGGUGGGGUAGUGGCUUACCAAGGCUUUGACGGGUAGCCGGCCUGAGAGGGUGACCGGCCACAUUGGGACUGAGAGACGGCCCAGACGCCUACGGGAGGCAGCAGUGGGGAAUAUUGCACAAUGGGCGGAAGCCUGAUGCAGCAACGCCGCGUGCGGGAUGACGGCCUUCGGGUUGUAAACCGCUUUCGCCUGUGACGAAGCGUGAGUGACGGUAAUGGGUAAAGAAGCACCGGCUAACUACGUG